rnacentral:sRNA from 1 species
AAGCUUCGACUAAGGUUCGACUCGAGCGAAGCGAGAGAACGUUGCCGCAGGCAACGGCCCGAAGGGCGAGGCGCUUUAGCGCCGAGUAAUCCUUCCCCCCACCACCA